UCGAGAAUCUUUCGCAAUGGGCGAAAGCCUGACGAAGCGACGCCGCGUGAGCGAUGAAAGCCUUCGGGUUGUAAAGCUCUGUCACAUGGGACGAAAUGCGUGUGUGUUAAUACCACAUACGUUUGACGGUACCAUGAGAGGAAGCCCCGGCUAAUUUCGUGCCAGCAGCCGCGGUAAUACGAAAGGGGCAAGCGUUGUUCGGAUUUAUUGGGCGUAAAGGGCGUUUAGGUGGCAUAUUAAGUCAGAUGUGAAAGCCUACAGCUCAACUGUAGAAUUGCAUCUGAAACUGAUAAGCUUGAGUCCAGGAGAAGGGAGCGGAAUUCUCAGUGUAGCGGUGAAAUGCGUUGAUAUUGAGAAGAACACCAGUGGCGUAGGCGGCUCCCUAGCCUGAGACUGACACUGAAGCGCGAAAGUCAGGGGAGCAAACG
rnacentral:rRNA from 1 species